rnacentral:lncRNA from 1 species
CAUUUAUUACUGCGCAGUGCACUUCCAACAGCACUAAUCUGUAUGGAUGGGAAAUCCAGAAGAGGAAGGUGCUUUCAGAGAUGAUAUUAAUGACUGUGACAUUUAUUCUUCUUCAGACCUCUGAUAGGAUUUGACAGACUGUUCUUGCUUUAAUGGUGACUCAGUACUGCGCUGUUUUUGUGGCUCCUUGUAGCAGUUGGUAUACCAACUGGCUAGGCACGUGCCUGAAGCAAUAGAGCAGACACGGAGCACACAAGCCCCAGGUCAUUUGGGGGCAGGUUUCUAAAGGUUUCCAUUGAUUGAAAUGGGAGUCAGGCACCUGAGGACAUAGAAGAAAAAAAAUCCAGUCCUUGCUUCUCGGUGUGCCAACCACAUAGAGCAAACACUUAUUUUCCCUGAAUCCUGAAAGAACAAGACAAGCUCUGUGGAUAAAGUAAUGCUAGGGAUGUGUUUGGAACAAAAAUCAUUUAAAACUGGCAUUUGAGCCACUGCUGGCAAUGGCCAUCUAAUUGAAGGGACCUCAUUUGUUACACAAGCCACACAGGAGCUCAUUGCAACAGACUGUAAACUAAUUACUAACCUCGUUUAAAAAUUAGGGGAAUAAUUAGGGCUUUGUUUUAUUUUGGAUGCCUCUACCUUUGUGUGCCCAGUUUGAGAGGGAUUGCCAUGAGAAGGACAGAAGAUUGAGGGGGAAGCAGAGUCUUGGACAGAGUAAUUUGUCCUUAAAACUACAGACACGCUGCCGUUUAGUGUGAAAGGAUCUUGCCAAAGCCAUAGAUAAUAGGAGCAGGAAUCCACAGAAGCUUGGUUUGAAUUUUUUUUUUAUAUUUUUUUUCCCCUAAAUCAACUAAGUCUUCAACAGGAUGGUUAGGGAUCCCCGCAUGGCUUUCCUCUUGGAAUUAAGAAUGAAGGAAGCAGAGUGUUUUUCAUGGAUACUGGAGUGCUGCAUCCAGCUCUGGGGUCCCCAGCACAAGAAGGACCUGUUAAAGCAAGUCCAGAGGAGGGCCAUGAGGAUGAUCAGAGGGCUGGAGCACCUCUCCUGUGAAGAGACCUCUCCUACAGGCUGAGGUAAUUGGGGUUGUUCACCCUGGAGAAGGCUCCAGAGAGACUUUGUAGCGGCCUUCCAGUACCUAAAGUGGCCUACGGAAAAGCUGUGGAGGAACUCUGUUAGGGAGUGUAGUGAUAGGACAAGGUUAUGGUAAUGGUUUUAAACUAAAAAAUGUAAUAUUUAGAUUAGGAAGAAAUUCUUCACUCAGAGGGUGGUGAAGCACUGGCGCAGGCUGCCCAGAGAGGCUGUGGAUGCCCCAUCCCUGGAGGUGCUCAAGGCCAGGCUGGAUGGGGCUUUGGGCAGCCUGGUCUGGCGGGAGGUGUCCCUGCCCAUGGCAGGGGGGUUGGAACGAGAUGAUCUAAGGUCCCUUCCAACCCAAACUAUUCAGUGAUUCUGUGAUUCCGUGACGCUGUAGUGACUGAAUUAUAUAGCCAUAACCUUUGGUGUGUCAGUAGGUAGCUUCUCAGCCCCUUAGCAUUCUGGAUUCAAGAAUAGAUCUCUGGCACAUUGCUUUGUGUCACGGCAUAGGCGCUCCUGUUAUUAAUCUGUAAUUACAUAACCAACACCUAGCAAAGACCACUUAUUUCUGGUGAUUACACAGUAAUUACACUCUAUUGAUUCCAAAUUGGUAAUUGUUAAUAGUUCCUUGCAACACUUACAAAAUAAUACAAUAUUCUGUAAUUUAGUAGUGAUUAGAAUGUACGCUUAGGGUCAGUUAGUGCUGCUGCUCACUUGCUCUUUGGCUCACUAAAUGAAGUGAUUAUGACUAUAUUUAGUAUCCUCUGGCUUUUAGGAUUCAUUGUGAUGGAAUUUGAUUUCAUUUUCCUUAAAAUAAUUACUGGGAAUUACAUUGUGUUUG